CUGUAAGCACGAAGCUUAGUGAGCUCCCCCAAAUUACCACAUACCAUACAAUAAUAUAUCAAGCACAUACGGGGCCUUGCCCCCUCCAUCGGACCAAAGUCCGAAGCUGACUGACUGGGACCUUAUCCCCUACAUCGGGCCGAAGUCCGAAGCUGACAUCGGACCGAAGUCCGAAGCUAACUGGGACCUUGUCCCCUACAUCGAACCAAAGUCCGAAGCUGACAUCGGGCCGAAGUCCGAAGCUAACUGGGACCUUGUCCCCUACAUCGAACCGAAGUCCGAAGCUGACAUCGGACCGAAGUCCGAAGCUAACUGAUCAUAGCAUAACAUAUCACUAACAUGAACACACAUAAUCUUGUCUGAGCCACGAAGGCAUCAAACAUGCUAACUACUGCAUCGGAUAACAUCCGGAUACUACUGCUAGCUAAACGGGCCGGCAUUGUGGCCUUAGACCCGUUCCUACUGAAAGGGAACUCACCUCGAAAACUGGCGGCUGAGUGUGUGUGUCUCUGAAAGCUACCGGCUGCUGCUCCUGAAUCUCCUCGGCUACAAGCCCAUGAACACACUCAAUCAAAUACUAAACACUGC
rnacentral:lncRNA from 1 species